GGAUGAAGGGAGCUUGCUCCUGGAUUCAGCGGCGGACGGGUGAGUAAUGCCUAGGAAUCUGCCUGGUAGUGGGGGAUAACGUCCGGAAACGGGCGCUAAUACCGCAUACGUCCUGAGGGAGAAAGUGGGGGAUCUUCGGACCUCACGCUAUCAGAUGAGCCUAGGUCGGAUUAGCUAGUUGGUGGGGUAAAGGCCUACCAAGGCGACGAUCCGUAACUGGUCUGAGAGGAUGAUCAGUCACACUGGAACUGAGACACGGUCCAGACUCCUACGGGAGGCAGCAGUGGGGAAUAUUGGACAAUGGGCGAAAGCCUGAUCCAGCCAUGCCGCGUGUGUGAAGAAGGUCUUCGGAUUGUAAAGCACUUUAAGUUGGGAGGAAGGGCAGUAAGUUAAUACCUUGCUGUUUUGACGUUACCAACAGAAUAAGCACCGGCUAACUUCGUGCCAGCA
rnacentral:rRNA from 1 species